UGCGGGGUGGAGCAGUUCGGUAGCUCGUCGGGCUCAUAACCCGAAGGUCCCAGGUUCAAAUCCUGGCCCCGCUACCA
rnacentral:tRNA from 1 species